GUUCUUAUGGUUGAAGUACAACGAUAGUUUUUCAGGCUAUGGGUCUUAGUUAGAGGCUGAGUGAGAAUA
rnacentral:tRNA from 1 species